rnacentral:rRNA from 1 species
UACCAGCACCCCGAGUGGUUGGGACGUUUAUUGGGCCUAAAGCAUCCGUAGCCGGUUCUACAAGUCUCCGUUAAAUCCAACUGCUUAACAGGUGGGCUGCGGAAGAUACUAUAGAGCUAGGAGGCGGGAGAGGCAAGCGGUACUCGAAUGGGUAGGGUAAAAUCCGUUGAUCCAUUGAAGACCACCAGUGGCGAAGGCGGCUUGCCAGAACGCGCUCGACGGUGAGGGAUGAAAGCUGGGGGAGCAAACCGG